AAAAAAAAUAAAUAAAAUAAUAAUAAUAAAAAAUUAAACGUAAAGUUCUGUAGUGAAAAAAACAAAACAAAUUCUGGUGCAAUGUUUCUACACUUUGCUUAAAAUAUCAUAAUUCACGAGCAUCUCACUGUGUCAUAUGCUUGAGAAUCAGCCAGAACAUUGUCUUCCAUUCUCAUAUAUGCUUUUUGCCUUUACAAUACCAUGACGAGGCCAUUACUACUCUUACAGGUGUGUUUAAUUGUUAUUUGGCUCAGAGGAAGAUAAAAAUAAAUAAUAUUUCUGUCAAGUUUACUGAUGUUUAAGGGUGGGGGGGAAGCACUUUAAAGUGUCCACGAAAUGCACAUCAUACAACAGCCACUAUUUUUGGAAGUUUGCAAAUAUGAUGAAGGGUGGUGUAUGUGUUGUAAUGAAUUUUCAUCAUCUCAGGUGAAUUUAAAUGAUUUUAAAACCUGUUUAAAAAGCCACUUUAGUAUCGAUUGAGGACGUUUUAGGAACUCAGCUUCAGGUCAUGCCUAAGAACAGCCUUUACUUUUGGUAAAUCCACUAUGAAGAAAAGCCUCUUGUGACUUACUGCAUAAGUAAAAGCAUCUCAAAAAUAAAGACAGAAUUUUAUCAGGCAAAGUGCACAAGGCUGAAUGGAAUAGAGGGGUCUCUCAGAGACUAAAGCCCAGACAGUGUGCAGUGAGAGGAAGAGGGCAUACGCCUCAAGACUGGGCACUUAGACAUAAAUAAUUGACAGGACAGAGUCAGUGUCACUGUUUUGCUGCUUGGAGAGAGGAGAAGCCUGUCAGCUGUGACAGUGAGGUAAAAAGAGUGAGAGAGGGGUCGAGCAGCAGUCUCGAGAGACACUAGACUAUCUUGAAUAUUCUUUACCCACAUAUUUCAAAGACAAUGGGGCAUCAUUUAAUCAGUCUCAUUGUUGGUUUAAUAGUGAGUCAAAU
rnacentral:lncRNA from 1 species